rnacentral:rRNA from 1 species
GUUGACCUCGGAUCAGGUAGGGAUACCCGCUGAACUUAAGCAUAUCAAUAAGCGGAGGAAAAGAAACCAACAGGGAUUGCCUCAGUAACGGCGAGUGAAGCGGCAAGAGCUCAAAUUUGAAAGCUGGCUCCUUCGGGGUCCGCAUUGUAAUUUGCAGAGGAUGCUUCGGGAGCGGCCCCCAUCUAAGUGCCCUGGAACGGGCCGUCAUAGAGGGUGAGAAUCCCGUAUGGGAUGGGGUGCCCGCGACCAUGUGAAGCUCCUUCGACGAGUCGAGUUGUUUGGGAAUGCAGCUCUAAAUGGGUGGUAAAUUUCAUCUAAAGCUAAAUAUUGGCCGGAGACCGAUAGCGCACAAGUAGAGUGAUCGAAAGAUGAAAAGCACUUUGAAAAGAGAGUUAAAAAGCACGUGAAAUUGUUGAAAGGGAAGCGCUUGCGACCAGACUCGCCCGCGGGGUUCAGCCGGUAUUCGUACCGGUGUACUUCCCCGUGGGCGGGCCAGCGUCGGUUUGGGCGGCCGGUCAAAGGCCCUCGGAAUGUAACGCCUCUCGGGGCGUCUUAUAGCCGAGGGUGCCAUGCGGCCAGCCCGGACCGAGGAACGCGCUUCGGCACGGACGCUGGCAUAAUGUUCGUAAGCGACC